rnacentral:lncRNA from 1 species
UUCGCCAUUUGUGUCUUGACAUUGUGAUAUGUGAUGCAUUGAAGUAGUUUGUGAUAUACAGUUCAUACAUAUCAAGUGUGGGGUGGAUAUAUUCUGCUUGUGAUAUAAAUUUUUGGUUGGUGUAGGAAGUGUAGACUUCAGCUCACAUGCGUUUCCACAUCGGGGUUCCACUAGUAGAACCCAACCACUUUCCCCGGAUACACCAUAUUCAAGCUCCUCUCCUUCAAACGAUAAGGAAGAAACUCUUUAUGCUCACGUUCCCCGACUAGAGGAUGUGGAAAAUGUGCACCAGUACAUCACAGCAUUAUCCCAUCUGCUCGCCCUUAAUUUUUUAGAGCUCCUUCUAUUUCAAGAAUUGCAAAGAAUUCAUGGUAGGAUUUGUAUCUCCUAUCGUUUAGGGGGUAGUAGUUCAACGAGACCCUUGACAAACUCCAUGUUUCUCUGGGAUGUCAUACGGACCCCGCCACACUCUCUCGGCCAUACAAGCUAGGCGAUAAAGACCCCAUCCGGUUACGAGCUAGGCCAUACGGACCCCGAAACUAUCCGGGACAAGGUCCGACCCUUGUGGCUAGGCCUGGCAAUUCGGUCGAAACCGGUUACUCGAUUUCAAUUUCAAUUUUGACCGAAUUUGAGUUCGGACAAAACUGUCACCGACUUCGGUUUUGAAUUCAAUUCGGUUUUCCAAAUUCGAAUUCAAUUCAAAAAAGGUUACCUGACCUAACCGAUUUCCAUAUCGAUUUAGAGAAAAAGGAGAUUGAAGGUUUGGAUGUGCUUCAGAUCUGUGGAGUAGAUGACUCGAUUCAUGCUCAGGAAUAAUGGCUUGUGGAGAUAACUGGAUAUCUGGAUGCAGACCUGUAAAAAUUAAAAUCGAAACACAACAGCUACAAUCACGAUAGAGAGCAACAUGAUAGUGGAGACGGCUGUCUAAAAUCUGAAGCCCCAAUUGAAGAGAACAUCACGGCGGUGGAGGCAGCUGCUAGGUUGGAUUUGGUAAGAUUUGUUGUUGGGUACUGGGGAAAGAAGCAAGGGUUGGGACAAAGCCCUUUUCAAGAGUGAGCAUCGGCGGCACCUCAUCGGUUGUUAAGGGGAAGAAAAUACGAUUUGAGAUGAGGGAAAAUGAAAUUUAAAAUCAGGAAUGGGAAUAGAUAAGGAAAGACUAGCAAUCAAGGGGAAGGAAAGAAGAUUUUGAGAUGAGAAAAGGAAGGUGUCAGCUGUCUCAAGGACGAGGCAUGAAGAAUUAAGAACUGGAAAGGGAAAGAAGGAAGAAUGGUGGGAAAUUUUUAUUUUUAG